rnacentral:rRNA from 1 species
CGCCUGGGGAGUACGGCCGCAAGGUUAAAACUCAAAUGAAUUGACGGGGGCCCGCACAAGCGGUGGAGCAUGUGGUUUAAUUCGACGCAACGCGAAGAACCUUACCUGGCCUUGACAUGCAGAGAACUUUCCAGAGAUGGAUUGGUGCCUUCGGGAACUCUGACACAGGUGCUGCAUGGCCGUCGUCAGCUCGUGUCGUGAGAUGUUGGGUUAAGUCCCGUAACGAGCGCAACCCCUAUCCCUAGUUGCUAGCAGUUCGGCUGAGAACUCUAGGGGGACUGCCGGUGACAAACCGGAGGAAGGUGGGGAUGACGUCAGGUCAUCAUGGCCCUUACGGCCAGGGCUACACACGUGCUACAAUGGCGCGCACAGAGGGCUGCAAACCCGCGAGGGGGAGCCAAUCUCACAAAACGCGUCGUAGUCCGGAUCGCAGUCUGCAACUCGACUGCGUGAAGUCGGAAUCGCUAGUAAUCGUGAAUCAGAAUGUCACGGUGAAUACGUUCCCGGGCCUUGUACACACCGCCCGUCACACCAUGGGAGUGGAUUGCACCAGAAGUGGUUAGUCUAACCUUCGGGAGGACGAUCACCACGGUGUGGUUCAUGACUGGGGUGAAGUCGUAACAAGGUAACCGUA